rnacentral:rRNA from 1 species
UACGUAGGUGGCGAGCGUUAUCCGGAAUGAUUGGGCGUAAAGGGUGCGUAGGCGGCCUGCUAAGCCUGGAGUGAAAGGUACCGGCUCAACCGGUACAGGCUCUGGGAACUGGCGGGCUAGAGAGCAGGAGAGGGCGGUGGAACUCCAUGUGUAGCGGUAAAAUGCGUAGAUAUAUGGAGGAACAUCAGUGGCGAAGGCGACUUUCUGGUCUGUAACUGACGCUGAGGCACGAAAGUGUGGGGAGCAAACAGG